GAUGUGAUAUUUUCAGUGUGUUGAAAGCUGCAAAUUGCAGCACAAUAUUUGCCCAAAAUUCAAAUUUGGGAAUGGGUUAAUGAGCUUCAGGUGUAUAAAAUGAUAUGUUUGUAAAGCUGGAAUAAGCACUAUAGUCACUAGCUAGUGCUGAGACAAAGCCUCAAAUAUUGUCCGAGAUUAAAUAUUGCAGCUGGGCUAUAGCCCGGCUCAAAAUAUUGUUCUCAACAGUUGGAAAUGUCUGGAUUGAGUUGACAAACUGGUGUUGUGAGGUAAAAAUAGCACUGUCCAAGUUUAUUGCAAUUGAUACAGAAUAUCAUAGCCUUGCCUAUAGCCAGACUAGUCUUCUUAAUUAGUGCUUUAUAUGAAGAAAAUUAUAUACUGGCCUAGCUAAAGUGGCCCCCCAAGCCAGACAAAUCAGUCUGGAUCUUGUAAACACCCCUAAGCUGGGCCGUGGCAACUGGUAUGUGUUUAAUUGAGUUAAUUAAGAUUUAUUUAAUGUUAAAUUUAGUAUUUAUGGGUUAACAGGACAUAAUGGCAGAUGUCUUGUUAACCCAUUAAUGUUCAAGACUCUUCCCUUGACGAGUAACAUUGCUGACAGAGUAAAUACUAAAUUUACACAGACAAUGAGAUAGAGUGAGCGUUAGACAGUAAAUACUAAAGUUGGGCACAUGGGGUACAUGAAAGGGUUAAUCCAUUGAGCAAAACUGCUAUCCCCUUGAAGAGUAAAGUUGUCUGGUGUUAGACAGAGUAAAAUAAUAAAGUAGGAUGCAAUGAAACUUAAUGGGUAACAUUUACUUAUUAUUCAUUUUUGUAUAGUAAUGCCAUGCCUAACAGAUAUUGUUUCCAACUUGGAAGAGCAAUUACGACUCUUGCAAAAUGGCCAGUGUUCUUCUUCAAGACCAUAUGCAUCAAUGAUGACCACAAGGAUUAACAAUGAUGAACACAAGGAUUAACAAUAUUGUGAAAAAAAGAAAGUAUCUACACAUAACAGUAACAUUGACACUUAUUCUAAUAAGAAUAUUCACUAAAUAGAGUAAUCCUACAACAGUUUGACUAGCCCAAUGUUUAUUUUUAAAUUCUUGCAUAGUUGUUUUGUUUUGUGGACAAUAUGCCACAUACAUUGGUUCUGUUGGCAGCACUUAAUUUUAAUUUAAGCCUGGAUAUUUACAUCUGUUUAUACAUACUUAAUAUUGAAAUCCAGGCACAUUGAAAUCUUUGCUGCAAAGUUUAUGUAAGUGAUAUUCUCCACCAAAUAAAAUUGCUAUAAUUGUUUCCAGGCAUGAGGCAGUUGUAUCUUGCAGCUGCUGACUACUUUUUAAAUACCCAUUUCCUACUGUAGUUCAAUGGUAGCUAUAAACAUAUAAUUCUGAUCAUGGUUAACUAGCUG